GCAAGGUGGCUGGGUCGGGGCUGGGUGGGUGAAAUGGGGAGGAACCCGUGGAAGAGAACGAGUGUCACAGACGCUCUUGUCGAGUUUGGAGCUCUCCCCGCCAUUUUAGUUGCGGGUCAAAUUGCCCUUUUCUUGGUGCGGAGAUGAGGAAAUUGAGGCCCAGAAUGAUGAAGUGACUGGACUGCAAUUAUUCAAGUGAUCAGUAACAGAACUGGAAUUUGAAGUGAGAUUCUUUGAUGUAAAAUCUGGUAUUCUUUCCAUUAUGCCAAGGGCCUCUCCUUAAAGCCCCAAAACCCAAUAAUUUUAGAGAUGAAAGGCUUAUAAUUAUGAUAA